ensembl:lncRNA
AUGAAACACAGAACAGGGCUGGGGACGGGGCUCAGGGCCCGAGGGUCCCGGGGUUCAAUCCCUGGCACCAAAAAACACACAAAAAAGGACAGAGCCGUGUCCCUUGGAGUGGGCGGAGCCAGAGGAACCCAGAACCAGAGGAGGGGGAUGGGCCCAGCCUGCAGUGGCCGCCACCAUGGCCCCUGGAGGAGCAGGAGGGAGACCACGCGGCUGAGGCGGAGCAGGAGGGGGCCCGGGAGGCUCAGAAAGUUCCUGAGAGGACUCCGACCCCACCAGGAGCCAGGGUUGGAAAGACGAAUCCGCUCGGCUGCGCCAGGCUCUGCAGGGGCUAAAUUUAAAACUGCAGGGUGGACGCGGGACAGCGAGCGAGGACACCAGAGGACCACGCUGGGCAGGAGCUUCGGACAACUCCCAGGCCCUCGGAGACACCCGCAGGCACAGCAGGGCCCCGGAGCCAGGCCUGCGGGCCACAGGGGAGCUCACGUCCAGCCACAGGCCUGGCCAGCCUGGUCACUGUGUGCUCUCCAGUCCCCGCCGGGGCCACUGCUCCGGACUCUAGGCUGGAAGGAGGUCACAGCGGGACCCCCCAGGUGGCCCCAAUACUGAGAAUUCCUGCAGAAAGACACAGGUGCCCUCCCCACGGACCCUCGGUGCAGAUUGUGAACCACGUUGACGAGCGACCCCAGGAGAUGCUCAGAGCAGGCUCAUCCCGGAUUGGAAGAUGACCCGGGGUCCCCUGGGCCUGAAACGUUCCUGCUACCUGCACACCUCACCUGCACACAAGGCAGGGACAUGAAAUAUAAAUGACUCGUGUGAGCCUGCAUGAUUCAGCACACACACACGCGCACACACACACGGCAACCAAACAUUUAAGAACAAGAGAAAGAAAGAUGCCAGGGUUUGUAGACCACAGGGCCUUUGCAUCACAUUCACUCAUCCAGGAAACUUGAGGAAGAGAGAAAUUUAGGGGAAUCGUGAGAAGGAGGGGUCAGAGAGUUCCAGAAGUGGGGYGGGGUGAGGGGUUGAAGGGUCACAGAAUCAGAAAUAAGGUGUGGAACAUUUCUGUCCUCCCCCACCUCCAAGGCCCCCCCACUUCUUACCCAGCAAGCCCCAGCCCCACCCUGUCUAAACCAGGGAUCUUGGUUUGUCAGGGCCAAGGUGGGCAGAGUGGGCCCCUGGCUUUGUGGGGUGCCCUCCCCCACUAACACCCACAGGCCCCGGCUCCUGGGGGCUCAGGGCCACCCGGGGGAGGGGGAGAGGCUGAGCCUGGGUCUGGGCCUCACGGCUCCUCUGGGCAGUGGCUGAGGUCUGUGGUCUAGCGGCACUCAGGGCUCCCGCUCGUGGAUGCCACCAAGAUCGCCAUCCUCCGCCGCCAUUGUCACUGUGCGGGUUGGCCAUCGUCACCCUGUGCUAGGACAGUGGACGGAGAGGAACGAGGAACCGGCCCUUGGAGGUAGAGCCCCACCCCUUGGGGAAACUGAGGCCCAGAGAGGACAGGGCCAGGUGGACACCGGCUGGCCAAGGACAGUGAGCCAGGCAGUGCCAUCUGCUUGCCCUACCGUCAUUGUCACCCACCAGAAUUAGCCAGGAGCAGGGACCAAGGAGU